rnacentral:rRNA from 1 species
GACGAACGCUGGCGGCAUGCCUAACACAUGCAAGUCGAUCGGUAAGGCUCUUCGGAGUACACGAGAGGCGGACGGCUGAGUAACGCGUAGGAACACACCCUGCAGUGAGGGAUAAGACACCGAAAGGUGUUCUAAUACCGCAUACGGUCUUCGGAUUAAAGCAUUUAUGCGCUGAAGGAGUGGCCUGCGUCAUAUUAGAUAGUUGGUGAGGUAAUGGCUUACCAAGUCGAUGAUGUGUAGCUGGUCUGAGAGGAUGAUCAGCCAGACUGGAACUGAGACACGGUCCAGACUCCUACGGGAGGCAGCAGUGAGGAAUAUUUCAUAAUGAGCGAAAGCUUGAUGGAGCAAUGCCGCGUGCAGGAUGAAGGCCCUCGGGUUGUAAACUGCUUUUAUAAGAGAAGAUUAUGACGGUAACUUAUGAAUAAGGGACGGCUAACUACGUGCCAGCACCGCGGUAAAG